CGUCCUCGAUCUGCUGCGGACAGAUGAAGUGGAUGUGACUGUCGAAACCCCCGGCGGUGAGGAUACGGCCCUCUGCCGCGAUCGCCUCGGUCCCCGGCCCGACGAUGAUGUCGACGCCGGGCUGCGUGUCGGGGUUGCCCGCCUUGCCGAUCUUGACGAUGCGCCCGUCCCUGAGACCCACGUCGGCCUUGUAGAUCCCCGUCCAGUCGAGGAUCAGCGCGUUGGUGAUCACCGUGUCCACCGCCCCCUCGGCGCGGGUGACCUGGGAUUGCCCCAUGCCGUCGCGGAUG
rnacentral:sRNA from 1 species